rnacentral:rRNA from 1 species
ACUUGGAUAACCGUAGUAAUUCUAGAGCUAAUACAUGCAUCAAACCCCGACUGCUGGAAGGGGUGUACUUAUUUAAUGGAAACCCAUGCCGGGCAACCCCGAUCAUGGUGAUUCUUAAUAAUUUUCUGAUCAAUCGCAAGAUCGAUGCAUCAUUCAAGUUUCUGCCCUAUCAUCUUUUGAUGGUAGGGUAUUGGCCUACCAUGGCAUUAACGGGUAACGGAGAAUUAUGGUUCGAUUCCGGAGAGGGAGCCUGAUAAAUGGCUACCACAUCUAAGGAAGGCAGCAGGCGCGUAAAUUACCCAAUCCUGACACAGGGAGGUAGUGACAAUAAAUAACAAUGCCGGGCCUUCGGGUCUGGCAAUUGUAAUGAGAACAAUUUAAAUCCCUUAUCGAGGAUCAAUU